CACCACAACAGGUGGAGCCUGCGGUUUAAUCGGACUCAACGCCGGGAAUCUCACCGGAUAAGACAGCUGGAUGAUAGCCGGGCUGAAGACUCUGCUUGACUAGCUGAGAGGAGGUGCAUGGCCGUCGUCAGUUCGUACUGUGAAGCAUCCUGUUAAGUCAGGCAACGAGCGAGACCCACGCCAACAGUUGCCAGCAUGUCCUCCGGGAUGAUGGGGACACUGUUGGGACCGCCUCUGCUAAAGAGGAGGAAGGAAUGGGCAACGGUAGGUCAGCAUGCCCCGAAUUAUCCGGGCUACACGCGGGCUACAAUGGUCAGGACAAUGGGUAUCAACACCGAAAGGUGAAGGCAAUCUCCUAAACCUGUCCUUAGUUCGGAUUGUGGGCUGCAACUCGCCCACAUGAAGCUGGAAUCUGUAGUAAUCGCGUCUCAAAAUGGCGCGGUGAAUAUGUCCCUGCUCCUU
rnacentral:rRNA from 1 species